AUUGAACGCUGGCGGCAGGCCUAACACAUGCAAGUCGAACGAGUGGCGGACGGGUGAGUAAUGUCUGGGAAACUGCCCGAUGGAGGGGGAUAACUACUGGAAACGGUAGCUAAUACCGCAUACCAUCGGAUGUGCCCAGAUGGGAUGAGCUAGUAGGUGGGGUAAUGACUCACCUAGGCGACGAUCCCUAGCUGGUCGGAGAGGAUGACCAGCCACACUGGAAGUGAGAAACGGUCCAUACUCCGACGGGAGGAAGAAGUGGGGAAUAUUGCGCAAUGGGGGCAAGACUGAUGCAGCCAUGCCGCGGGUAUGAAGAAGGCCUUCGGGUUGUAAAGUACUUGCAGCGAGGAGGCGUUACUCGCAGAAGAAGCACCGGCUAACUCCGUGCCAGCAGCCGCGGUAAUAC
rnacentral:rRNA from 1 species